AUACGUAGGGUGCAAGCGUUAAUCGGAAUUACUGGGCGUAAAGCGUGCGCAGGCGGUUUUGUAAGACAGUGGUGAAAUCCCCGGGCUCAACCUGGGAACUGCCAUUGUGACUGCAAGGCUGGAGUGCGGCAGAGGGGGAUGGAAUUCCGCGUGUAGCAGUGAGAUGCGUAGAUAUGCGGAGGAACACCGAUGGCGAAGGCAAUCCCCUGGGCCUGCACUGACGCUCAUGCACGAAAGCGUGGGGAGCAAACAGGAUUAGAUACCCUGGUAGUCCACGCCCUAAACGAUGUCAACUGGUUGUUGGGGAUUUAUUUUCUCAGUAACGAAGCUAACGCGUGAAGUUGACCGCCUGGGGAGUACGGCCGCAAGGUUAAAACUCAAAUGAAUUGACGGGG
rnacentral:rRNA from 1 species